CAGCCGCCACGGGAAUACGAAGGGGGCUAGCGUUGUUCGGAAUUACUGGGCGUAAAGCGCACGUAGGCGGAUAUUUAAGUCAGGGGUGAAAUCCCGCAGCUCAACUGCGGAACUGCCUUUGAUACUGGGUAUCUUGAGUCCGGGAGAGGUGAGUGGAACUCCUAGUGUAGAGGUGAAAUUCGUAGAUAUUAGGAAGAACACCAGUGGCGAAGGCGGCUCACUGGCCCGGAACUGACGCUGAGGUACGAAAGCGUGGGGAGCAAACAGGAUUAGAUACCCCCGUAGUCCCUGUCUCUUAUAC
rnacentral:rRNA from 1 species